GAUGAACGCUAGCGACAGGCCUAACACAUGCAAGUCGAGGGGCAUCACGGGAGUAGCAAUACAACUGGUGGCGACCGGCGCACGGGUGAGUAACACGUAUGCAACCUACCUGUAAGAGGGGAAUAACCCGGAGAAAUUCGGACUAACACCGCAUAAUACUGUUGAACUGCAUGGUUUAACAGUUAAAUAUUUAUAGCUUACAGAUGGGCAUGCGUAUGAUUAGCUAGUUGGUGAGGUAACGGCUCACCAAGGCAACGAUCAUUAGGGGUUCUGAGAGGAAGGUCCCCCACACUGGUACUGAGAUACGGACCAGACUCCUACGGGAGGCAGCAGUGAGGAAUAUUGGUCAAUGGGCGAGAGCCUGAACCAGCCAAGUCGCGUGAAGGAAGAAGGUUCUAUGGAUUGUAAACUUCUUUUGUAAGGGAAUAAAA
rnacentral:rRNA from 1 species